rfam:Jatropha curcas cultivar GZQX0401 scaffold354_54, whole genome shotgun sequence.
AGGCCAUGGUGUGGGCAAACUCGUUAAAGUUCUUUAUAAUGAUCCCAUGCCUCAUAUAGGGAUUCAUUUUCUUGUUGGGUGAAUGAGGCUAUUUCUUUAAUAAGCCU